UCCAAACCACCUGAAACCGUGUGCUAGAAACCAUAUGCUUUUAUCUCUCACUUCCCUCUCCGUCUCUUCUGGUUCUCUUUUUAUUUCUUCCUCUUUUUUUGUCAUUCUCUCUCCUUCUCUUUUCCUUUGCCAUCUUCCUCUUCCUCAGGCAGCAAGACUCAUAAGUGAUCCACAUAAUCUAUUUCGGUGUUUCUGCCCUCCUGCUCAUAAACUUUGACAGUGGAAUUAGCACAUGAAGAGGUGGAGAUAGUUGGGCUUUUUCCUCUUCAACAUUGCUGCAAUAAUCUAAGAUAGGGCGUGGAAGAUAUUUGGCAAUGAAUGGACUAAAAUUGUAAGAGAUGUUUUAGGCAGCCUUCAAGCAUGACAAUGGAAGGAUGCACAAAGAGAAGCACCAAAGAUGGUGAUAAAUCCACACUGGUACAGGCGGUUAACAAAACCUGAGUUGCUUCAAUUUUUUAAAUUCGCUCGGUUAAAGAACACUUGUUAUUCAAAUUGAUGUUAAUUCAGAAAUAGUAACUAUGAUAUGAAAGCAAGUAUUAUGAUA